rnacentral:rRNA from 1 species
UACAGAGGUCUCAAGCGUUGUUCGGAUUCAUUGGGCGUAAAGGGCGCGUAGGCGGGUUCCCAAGUCGGUGGUGAAAUCUUUCGGCCCAACCGGAAAAGUGCCGCCGAUACUGGGGACCUCGAGGGAGGUAGGGGUCGAGGGAACUUCCGGUGGAGCGGUGAAAUGCGUAGAUAUCGGAAGGAACGCCGGUGGCGAAAGCGCUCGACUGGACCUCUUCUGACGCUGAGGCGCGAAAGCCAGGGGAGCAAACGGG